rnacentral:rRNA from 1 species
UACGUAGGGUGCAAGCGUUUAAUCGGAAUACUGGGCGUAAAGCGUGCGCAGGCGGUUGUGCAAGACAGAUGUGAAAUCCCCGGGCUUAACCUGGGAAUGGCAUUGGUGACUGCACGGCUAGAGUGUGUCAGAGGGGGGGUAGAAUUCCACGUGUAGCAGUGAAAUGCGUAGAUAUGUGGAGGAACACCCGGAUGGCGGAAGGCAGCCCCCCUGGGUCAAGACUGACGCUCA